AUUUAAUUGUUAAUUCAGUGUCUAUUAUCGUCUUAUAUAGGUGCUUAAUAACGACUAGAGCUGACAAACCUUUGGAUCCAUAUGAGCUGUGGCAUUCAGAAGGAUAUUAUUUCCUGCUAGGUCAUUGCCAUCACUACAGGGGGAACUCCCCCCUCAAACUUUUCUUCUUAAAUUGGAGCUGUUGCUUGAACAAAAGCCUGAAAGGAUGGGUCUUGGAAAAUUUGCUGAACACGCAGCUGUAACAUAAGGCUGAAGCGAUCCAUGUCAACAGUUAGCUGGGUGCAUUCAUUGGUUUGUGUCUGUGUUGAAGACAGCCUGUAGACGGAAGGCACUUGGUUUUAGCCCUAGACCAUUCAGUGCCUUGUUCCAUUUCCUUUACCACAUGCAUGUUAGUGUUUAUCUCUCUGAGUCAUGAGAACUAUAAAAUGCUGUCCCUUUUCCUAUCAAAGAUUUGAAAAAUAUCUUUUGCCACGUGUUAGGUAUAGAGAAUUCUUUUGGACACAGACUUUUAAAUCCAGUCUUCCCAUGGAACUACCAUUGAUAUCAGAUAUUAAGGUGAAGACAGUUUACUGUUCAUGGAAGUGUAGCUCUCAGGAGGGCCCAAGGUCAUCCCAAGGCUCAGUUGUAAAAUCAGAAGAUACUAGUGUGUGUGUGUGUGCGUGUGUGUGCGCGCGUGCCUGUGUGUGUGCACAUGUGAGACAGAGAGAGAGGGAGAGAAGGAGAGAGAGAUUGGGUUGGGAAAGGUACCAUCCACUGGAUGUUUAGCCUCAUUGUCACGUUUUUCUUCUUUAUGACUAAAAGAAUCAAGCUCAUGGAAAAAAAUUUGAUAAUGUCUCCAUUUUUCAAAAUCUGGCGUGAAUUCAGAGAAGCUAAGUCAUCUGCCAAGAAAUUUACAGCCGAGAGGUGGUAGAACCAAGAUGCGAAGUCAAGUUGGCCUGUUGCCAAAGUCUAGUACACUAUAUGCUGUUUCCCAAGGAACAUUCUAAGAACCGAGUUCUUUUCCCGCUUGCAGAUGUCAGGUAGGCUGCGCAGGUAGAAGGUGCUAAAUGCAGAUAUUGUCAACGGCAAGUGAGUGAGGUAGAAUUUGGGGGAGAUUAAAGCUUUCCUGGACACCCGAAUUACAUCCUAGGCAUAGGUCUUGUCUCUCAAUAUGGCUUCUAGAAAUAUUAAGCAUCAGAAGCUCUAGUGAUGGUGUGAAUCAUAGGAAGUGCUAAGCUAAAACACUGAAUGAGUCAUUCUUUCCGGAAACAAUGGCAUUUAUGUCUCUAAAACUCUUGGUGGGCUUCUGCAGAUGGGGUAGAAUAAGAACUACUUAAAUUUCACCACUACUACCUACUGCUAAACACUAAAAUAAACGUACUGCUAUUAAUACAAAAUAGCUUUCUCUUUUUGAAAAGUUGUUAUCAACACGUUGAAUUAUUUGCUUAUUGAAACACUGAAUAGCAUGCCACACGCCUUCUGGGUGUAAGAUAAAUGUUAAUGACAAUAAAUAUAGUGGUACCCGA